rnacentral:lncRNA from 1 species
AGAGAUGAGUUUACUUUUUUAAAAAAGCUGCAUGAUGCGGCUUUAAAAAUUAAAUGACAGUGUGGCAUCUGUUACUUUUUGGAUCACUGUAACUGGAUUUCCAUCAACUCGAAAUCACUCCAGUGUUAAUUAUCUAGUCUUUUCUUCCACUGGUGGCCUCUCUUUGGUCAUUUCACUGCUUGUUUUUACAAAUGGCUGAAGUUCACUCUUCACCCUCGGUGAAGAGAAGUCAAGGGAGGUGACAGGGCUGAGGUCUUCCUCUGUCACUGAGGCUGCUGGUGGGGAAGCUGGCACAGAAUGGAGGUGGGCAGGAAGGAGGCCGAGAAUUAAAUUUAGUAAUCCUAGGAAACCUUCCUGGAGAGGUCAUCAUGUGCCUCUCUCUCCCCUGAAGAACUGAGAAUUAAUUAAUCAUUAUACUUCAGCUCUUGUGCCUGUACUUGGCACUUAGUAAGUGCUCCAUAUGUACCAAAAGGAACCUGGGAGACGUUUUGCACAAUUUUAGGUGACAUUCUAGCCCAGUGAUCUCUUGAAGGUUGCUUAUUUUUACUGCUUAAAGGAAGAGACGAUUAUCUAUUAUAUUACUUCUUUUUAAAUUUUUCCUCUUUCUUCAUUAUAUUUGCCAAAAGUUUUCUAUUUUCAAAGAAACAGCUUUUGAUUGAUAUACCAUAAUAACUCUAGUAUUUUCUGGCUUUGCAAGCAGGGAAUUCAACAUCCUUCUUCGACAACUGGGAUGGGAGCUGCCAUGUGGCCUGGGCCCAGCCAUGAGAAAGCUGAGAACAUCCACUUGGACAACUCCUCCCCUGGCAGAGGGAGCUGAAAGCGUGGAUGGAGUGACUGCCAUCUGGUGGGCGUGUGGGAGCCAGGGUGCAUGGGAUGGGAGGCGCUGCCUCUUUGGAGGCUGAGAUGGCUGGCUGGCGGGUGGGAUGGCCGUGCCAGGGGUUGGGGGCCAUUGCCCUCCAGCUGCCAAGAGUGAGCAGGCUGCCCCAGAUGAGCGAAUAACCUCAGCAGUGUUUCAUCUAACCUGCUUGCAGGACACAGCUUCCAUAUGCUUCCAACUUCCUCUGUGUGCUCUCCCUGCCACUGCAGCUGCUGGAUAUGGGCAGGGAAGCUCCUACUCGAUGGCUUUUCAGGCACCAGGUCUAUGGGGAAAUGCUGGGAGAUUCUGGGCUACCAGAAUUGCCUGAUACUCUGAGCUUCUUUCUAGCCCUAAUCUCAGAGGUUAGAUUCCCAGGGACUGCUUAUAGAGGUGAAAUCAUGUUGAGGGCACCUCUGUAAACCCAUCUGCUUCCUACCUCAAUCCUGGAAGAGAGAGGCUCUACUGUGAGGAACACCUCUUUUACCCCAAGCAAUGGGAGCGUUUUAAGGCAAUGUAACCCAUUAGAGAUCCUGCCACCCAUGCACUUAUUUGUAAUAGUCCUUCCAUUUAUUCAUAUAUAUUUUCAGUUCGAGGAGGCCUUUUGGAUAGUGCGGCCUCAAACUUCCAUCCUCAUGGAAACUCCAUAAUCCAUAUGGCAGUAACACUCUACCAGAGCUCUUUGACUUUUUUUUUUUAAAAACAUCUUUAUUAAGAUAAAAUUUACAUACCACCCCUUUAAAGUAUAUAAUUCAAUGUAUUUUAUAAUCUUCAUAGGAUUGUACAACUAUCACCAUGAUCUAAUUUUAAAACAUUUUUUAUCCUCAUUUAUCCUCCUUAAAAGAAAACAGCACUUUGGGAGGCUGAGGCAGGUGGAUCACCUGAGAUCAGGAGUUUGAGACUAGCCUGACCAAUAUGGUGAAACCCUGUCUCUACUAAAAAUACAAAAAAAUUAGCUGGGUGUGGUGGUGUGCACCUGUAGUCCCAGCUACUCGGGAGGCUGAGACAGGAGAAUCGCUUGAACCCAGGAGGUGGAGGUUGCAGUGAGCCGAGAUCGCGCCACUGCACUCCAGCCUGGGUGACAGAGUGAGACUGUCUCAAAAAAAAAGAAAAGAAACUGUGUACAUCAGCAGUCAAUUCCCAUUCUUCCCACUCCAAGCUCCCCUUGCCCCCAGCCCUAAGCAAGCACUAAUCUCCUUCCUGUAGCUAUAAAUUUGCCUAUUCUAGACAUUUCAUAGACAUGGAAUGAUGUAAGUAUGUGGUCUUCUGUGACUGCUUCUUUCACUUAGUGUAAUGUUUUCAAGGGUCAUCUAUACUGUAGCGUGUAUCAGCACUUUGCUGCUUUUCCUGGUUGAAUAAUAUUCCAUUGUAUGAAUAUACCACAUUUUGCUUAUCCUUUCAUUAGCUGAUGGACGUCGGAUUGUUUCCAUUUUGGGCUACUAUGGAUAAUGCCACUAUGAGCAUUCAUGUCUAAGUUUUGUGCGAACAUACGUUUUCAUUUCUCUUGGGUAUAUACAUAAAAGAGGAAUUGCUGGGUCCUUUGUUAACUCUAAGUUUAAUCUUUUGAGAACUGCAAGACUAUUUUCCAAAGCAGUUGCACCACUUUGCAUUCCCACCAGGAGUGCAUGGGGUUCUAACUUCUCCACAUGCUUGUCGGCAACUGUUAUUGUCCAUCUUUUUCAUUCUGCCCAUCAUAGUGGGCGUGAAGUGGUGUCUCACUGUGGUUUUGAUUUGGAUUUCCCCAGAGGAAAAUGAUGUUGAGUAUCUUUUCAUGUGCUUGUUAGCCAUUUGCAUAUUUUCUUUGGAGAAUGUGUAUUCAAAUCCUUUGGCCUUUUAAAAACUUAUAAUUGAGUUAUAUUAAUUUUCUAUAUAUUCUGGAUACAAGUUGUUUAUCUGAUAUACAUUGUGCAAUGUAUAUCAGUAUAUAUCUCUGUCUGUGGUUUGUGUUUUUACUUCCUUGAUGGUAUCAUUUGCUACAACACAAACAUUUCUAAUUUUGCGGUAGUUCAGGUAACCUGUAUUUUUCUUUUGUCACUUGUCCUUACUUGACUUCGCUUAAUAGUAACAGAUGUUUAAAUAUAUAGGAUUCUUUAACUGUUUUCAAGGCAUUUUCUUUUCAAGUCCCACCUCUGAGCCUCACAACAAACCAAAGGAGUAGAAAAGUCAGCUACAGUUAUGUCUACAGAAGGCAGAGCAGAGGGGUCCAGUGACUCACUCUAGGUUGCAUAUCAGGUUAGUGGAGGAGAGAGGUUGAAGCCCAGA